CACCAUGGUUGCUAAAAAAGAACUCCUCCCGUAUCCCUAACCUUCUGAAGGCCACCACCACACCCGUAGCUUGCCAUGGAUCACGCCGCCGCCCGGCUCCCCACCGUCGUCGUCGCUCCCUGUCUCAUCUGCCGCCGCUGCCCACCACAUCCACUCUAUGUCGCAUCCCACCGCUUCCAUCGCCACCGCUAACCAUCUCUCGCCUUAGUCCUCUCUCUUGGACCAGCACGCUGCGGCGGAUGCUUCCGGUCGCGUGGUGGCGACGCGGCUGGUCGCCUAUAAGCUACAACAAUGGUUCCCUGUUGUACCCCUCCACUCACCGGACCGCUGAGGCAUGGAUGUACCUGGUGAAGAUCGCGCUCCGCAUAGCAAAUUCGGCCAUGUUCUGAGUGGUUGCUCGGCAAGGUAAUUUUCAUCUCUGAAGUUCUCUUAUGGACCGUGUAAUGGAUUUGUGGGUGCGCUAGAUGGAGUGCCACUGGAUUGCCAUGUUAGUGGGCAGAAUCUCCUCUCCUGCACACACGAAGCAAGGAGCUGAGUCAAUACUACUAUCCUUUGGCUUUGCAAUGGUGAUUAGAUAGUUCUGUUUUUUCAAAUCAUGGUGCUUUAGUUAGUUUGUCAACAGGUAGAAGAGCAAUUGAUCAGAAGGCCCAUAAUUUUUUCAUGGAUGUAGAAGAAACCGAAAAGAUCCUUUCAUGGUUGUACAAGGAAGCCCUAAAAUACCUACCUUCACCUUCGCUUCCUCUAAUCUGUACUCUAUCCCUCCCCCAGUUGAAAAACAAAUCCACGUCUCUCUCAAAACCAAGUUGAGGCAUGGAUCCCGUGUAAUCAAGGAGCUUAUUGCGUCAAGAUUAUUUUCUUCCUCUGGAUCAGAUAGUGUUGCGCGCUCAAGGGAUUCAAUCUAGAAUCUUCUCACCUACAGUACAACCUAUGGAUGUCCGAGAUCGGUCGGGGCAUAACUAUGCUCCUCAGGUGAGUUUAUAAAUUAAGAAACAUGUUGUCUAAACAAACAUAAACAUGAAGGAGCCUAAUGUCAGUUGUCAACAUGCCGCUGUUUAAGCCACUCCUAAAUCAAUUUUCGUAUGGGCAAAACAUGCCAGGGACCCUAUAUGGCAAGAUUAAUAUCUUUUCUUGAUUUCUUUUGUUGCUGCUCUGCCACAAUCUCCUGAUUAAGGAAGUACCUUGCCAAGCUGGCAUGUCCUGGCCGUUGUAGGUAAGAGAAUUGACUUCUGAUGAACUUUCUUCUUCUUAUCCUCUUUCAGUUAGAUAGUUAUAUUGUGAAACACUUGACAACGAAGCUCUCUGUCAACUAUUAGAGUAUUGACGGUUUCUGUCGUAAAUCUGAAUGUUUUUGCGGGCAAUUGUUUUGUAAAAGCAAUGGCACGUGACAACUACUAAAGCAUUGAGUGUCAUUGCUGUUGCACUUUCUAUAAGUAUGGGGAUUGAUUUUCUGUCAAUUCUGCGUUACAACUUACGACUGACAACUACUAAAUUUCAAUGCCCUUUUUGACAAUUUUAGGUUAAAUAGAAUGGCGUGUGAAAUAAUUGGUGCUAUCAACUAGGAGUAAUCAUGUCAUUGAUGGGUAAUGUAGCAGUUAUGCUCUGCAUUGAUAUUAAAGUCAACACAAAGGAACUCUCACAUAUGUUUGCUUUGUCUCCAACUGGGAAAUAAUGUGUGCGUACAUACCCACUGGAAUGUUACCCGCGCUCCGUACUCGGCUCCGGUGAUACAGUUUAACGGCAAGACACACUUAUCUAACAAAGUGCUCACAACUUCCCAGCAAAUGCUGCUCAUUGAGUGCCUCCUCCAUUCAAUGAGGAAAAGUUGACUGCUUGAGAAAAAGAAGCUGUUGCCCGAUAUGUUCAUCGAUGCUGUGGACAACGAUUUUUAUUAUCGUUUCCCAUAUUUAUCUAAUUAGGUUUGCAAUUACACUUUGUUUUAUUUAUCAUCUGUAUCUAGAAAAUCAGAUUGUGAAGCUUAUAAUUUAUUAGUUUUUCUGUGAUUUCCCUUUAUUUUGCUGAUAGUCCACUACUCAGGAUUAUAAGAGCCACCAUCUUUGUGAGCAUUUUAACUUCAGGUGUUCCAAGGUGUUAGUAUGGUUCUACAGAGAAAGCUGCACAACAUGCCUAAUUUUGUACUUACCUUGCAGUUCUGUAGAUCUACUACAAUUAUAUGAUGUCCUCAAAUCAGACCUUUGCAAGCAUCACAAGAUAUCAGUAUAUAUAUGUAGCGCACCUUUGGUUCAAUCAUACAUUCAUAGUAGUUUGAUGUACUACGUUUUGGUUGGCAGAGAGGAUUCUGAUGGUGACGCAUGAUUCACUGUAUUUUGUUUUGUUUUCAGGCCGAUGAAAUUGCUGGACUAGAAAAAAAUAUGUGUGUAUAUAAGUCAUCCAGCUCCGGGAGCGCGCGGAGCGAUGCUUGGGCGACUCCUAGAAAUUGGGAUGCGGGCCGCUCCGCUCCAGUGCGGUGCUUCGAAGCGGAGAGCUACCGAACAGCGCCUUUGCGUUAGGAUUAAGAGCAUGAUGAUUGCAAGGAUUUUCAGUUUUGAAAGGCAGAUGAAAUUGUUGGACUGAAAAGAAAUCAGUGUGUAUAUAUGGUAGUUCUCAUUGCAACAUCCACUUUACUCUACAGAAGGUGUUGUUGUUAAUAAUAAUUUCUGUAUUGUAAUAACUUGUGGUUGGACACUUGAGCUCCUUUAGUAAGUCCUUACUAUGAAAUAUAUUCACUAAUGUACUAAUUGCGAAAUUAAUGUGUACGCAGUUACAUGGUUCAUUAUUUAUUUAUUACAAAUAUAUGGUUGUUUACAUGCAA